rnacentral:ribozyme from 12 species
AAAGAAAAAAUCUUGCAAACAGAAGUCUUCUUGUUUGGGUCUUUGAAUUUCUUGUCUAUUUUGCAGAGAGUGGAAAAAGAAGAGUUUUAUUACUAGCAAGAUUUUCAUAUGACAAAAGUGUGGAGGUUCAAGAAGGUGUUAAGGAUAUUUUUUGGAAAAGGGUUUUUGUAAUAAUGGUAUGUGGUUUCUA